AGAGGGGUGCCCAGGUUCUGAGGAGACCUGGACGUGGGGGUUGGGGAGGUGUUCCCGGGUGCUAAUGUGCCACAAGACACGGAGGUCGGUAAGGGGUUGGGUGCCGGAGGUCCCCGUUAUGGGGGGGGAUUGGGUGUCCGAGUUCGGGAGUUUGGGGUGGAGACAUGGUGCAGCGUGACGAGGUGGUCACUUAGGGGAAGUGGGAAGUAAGUACCCAAGUUCUGGGGGUCCCCAGCGUAGAGUGAUUGAGUGCAACGUCCAAAUUAUCGGUCGUGUCCAUCCUGGAACGGUUGGGAGGGGUGCACAACUCCUGGGGGUCCUCAGCAUGGGGGGGGCACUGUGGAGAUGGCCCUGAGUGCCCACAAUGGGAGUCCCUUUGGAUUUGGGGUGCGGGGUCCCACGGGGGUACACGGGGCAGGGACAGCCGGGCUCGGCGCAGGCAGGAGCGAUAGGGGGGUCUGGCGGGGCCCCGCUGGGGGCAGCGUGCCCGCGCGCAUUCCGCACAUUCCGGGCCCCCCCACUCAGUGCCACGCGCCCGCCCCACGCGUGAACGCGGACAGAGGAUGGGCGGGGGCGGGGGCGUGGUGGGGCUGCGUGGGUCCGGCUGCCCACACGGGGCCCGCGGUGGGGACACGGAAGCAGCGGGGGUCCGGGUCUCCUCCGGGGUAUGUAGGGGGGGCUCCUCCUGCCGGUCCCGCUGCAGGUGUCCCCCGAUGAGUGACACGUCGCCCCCCGCGGGGUUGGGUUACGGAUAUAAAUACCCGAGGGCGGUGAAACCCGACCGGCAGCGGCGCGCUGGGGACCAAAACCUCUCCGAAAAGCAACAAAAACGAGCCUCGCUGCUGCUGCUCCUGAUGUCGCCGUGCCGCCAGGGAGGGCCCGGCAGCGGCGGCCGUGUGCUGACAUCGGACACUGCGGGGACACGGACAGGGACGGGAGGGGCUGCGCGCCGCACGUGGUGCCAUCACUCGUACACCCACGCGUGGGCGGGGGUCCCGCAAACAGCGUUGCAUGCCCAAAGCCUUCUCCAGCCCCGCGUUCCCCAUCCACCCCAUCUUGCUCUGGGCUAUUUGCAGCCACAUCUCUCCUUCCCCUAGCACUGACUUCUGUCUUUUUCAGUGUCCCUGCAGGAAGGGUUCACCCACACCACCAACUGCCCCCACUGCCCGCAGCAUCCAUCCUGGGGCUGGGCACCAAGAUGCUCUUAAGGCUGAGCUGACCAACCUGCUGCUGGUGGCAUCCUGUGGUCCAUGGCUGCACAUGUUCCCAGAAGGCAAAUGCAACUGUUGAAUCCCCAGUGCUGCUGAUUGUUUAAUUGGUUAAAAAUGCGUUUCCACCUCCUGGAGCGCGGCGAGGCGAGCAAGUGAGCUGCAGAGCCCUGCCAAGUGCCUUCACCUCUGCACAGAGAGUAGGGCCAGGAAGCUGUCAGCCCCAGGAGGUGGCUGUAAAGUGCGUCAGGCAGCGUGUCAGGACAGCUGAGCUGGAUGGAGGAGCUGCACAGGCCAUCACCACGCUGGGGACGUGUGGCACUGGGGCACCAGAGUCUGGAGCUGAGGCACAGCAUAGAUGGAAGAGGCACAUCCAUGGGUCCCCAUUUCUGUCCACACAGAUGCUCCAAAGGCUGCUCCAUCCCUGCCAUGAGGGGAACAUCUCCAAAAGGUUGAGGCUGCUCUGGCCAAGAGUUCUCAGGCCACUGCAUGAGUGCCACACAGGGAUGGAUGCACACAGUGACCUCUGUGCUAUGGGCUUCAUGUGCUGCAGUUGUCAGGGUAACCUGAAGGACUCCUUGUUUGUGUUCAGGUUUUGCAUGCCAACAAUGGGGGGGAAAAAAUGAGCAGAAUCAAAGAUUGUGAAGAAAAAAGCAUGGGUUAUGUGGCAGCUGUGCUGAUCCUCGGGUUCAGAUCAGAUUCAGGCAGGGGUGUGCAGCAAGGGCAGGGAUUUGAUGUCCCCAUGGAAGAGCCACUAGCAUGUCUCCAUGCCCAGAGUGAAGGAGGGUCCCCACCUCUGUCUGUAGGGCCAUGUCCAAGUUUCUUCUGUGGCUCUUCCUGAGGGGUAUCCCCAAGGAAUACUCUUCCUUGGGGUGCUGCCAUGAGUCCCAGCUAUCAGCUGUGAUGUGCUGGGGCACUGUGGGUCUGCAGGGGGUGAUUGUGCUGGAGCUGGGCUGCAUGGAACAGGGGGCUGUGAUCCCAGUGCUGAAGAAAAGUCAGCAAAGGUCAGCAGGAGCCACUGAGAAUAUAAACCCCCAGUGUCCACUGUGGGUGUUGCUGGCCCUGCAGCACACUGAAGUGUUGGUGUCACCAGACCAGUGGUUCUACCAGCACCAGUGGUGCUGCAAGCCCCAGGGUUUCACCAGCCUCACAGGUGCCACUAGUCUAAGGUGCCACCUGCCUCACUGGUGACAUCAGUCCUAUUGCUGUUACCUGUCAUGACGCUGCCACCAGCUCUGGUGGUGCUACCAGCUUUAUUGAGGCUCCCAGCCCCAUCGGUGCCACCAACCCUGUUGGGGCCACCAGCCUCAUUGAUGCCACCUGUUGUGGUACCACCAGCCACUGUGAUGCUGUGACCAGUCACAUUAGUGACACCAACCUCUUCAAGCCACUGGCCCCAUUGGUGCCACAGUCCCAGUGGUGUCACUGCAGUGCAUGCAUCCCUGCGCCACUUUCUCAGCUGCAGGCACCCAUCCUCACUUGGCCCCAGGCCUGGCAGGCUCGUGGCACUUUCUUGGAUAGCACAGCUCCCGCUCAGCCCAGGACUGAUCUCCCAGGGUUAUUUCUGAAUCACAGGACAGGAAGCGUUUAGAGGUUUAAGCCGAGAUGAAUAAUGUGCUCAUUUCCUUGUGCCGACUACAAAGCACCUGCUCCGGGGGAUUUAUGGAGUGCCACUCUCUCGCACUCGCGGCACUGCUGCCCACCCGGAUGUUAUUAUUUUCCUGGGUUGGCUGGUGGGUGCCAAGGCCUGUUUUCCCAAACACUGCACACCAUCCCAUCACGCUGCUUAGGAAAAGUGGCUGAGGGCAGCAGUGGGGCACACCGGGGUACCCCCUGGUGCUAGAAUGCGGCCCCAGGCAGGGUAGGGUGCCAGCAGCUGUAGGGUGGGAGCAUUGCAGGAGGAGAUGAUGUCUCCAGGGUGUGAUGCUGGAUGGGGUGGCACAGGUAGAGCAGGGCUGCAGAUGCAUCAAUAUCUGCCCUCUGUGGGCAACUGUGGCAAAGGAGAACCAGGGGUGCGUGCAGACACCGCUGGAAUAAACAGGCUGGAGAGAGCAUGGGAGAAAGGGAUGGAGCAUGCUGGAGAGGGAUGGACCAUGGUGGAGAGGAAUGGAGCUUGUUGGAGUGGGAUGAAGCAUGAGGACAAGGAAUGGAGUAUGAUAGAGAGGAUGGACAGUGUGGGAGAGGAAUGGAGCGUGUGGAAGAGAGAUGGAGCAUAUUGAAGAGGAAUGGGCUGUGAGAGUGAGUGGAUGGGGGGCUGUGAGAGUGAUGGAGGGGGGUGGACCACAGUGUUGAAAAAGGAUGGACUGUGAUGGAGAAGAACAGACAAUGAGAACAAGAAUGGAAUGUGAAGACAAGGAUGGAGCGCAAUGGAGGAAGACUGACCAUCACAAAGAGGCAUGCAGCAUGAGGGUGAGCAAGAAAACAUGAGACCAUGAAAGAGAGGCAGUGGAGCACUGGGAGCACCAGGGAGCAUCACAGUCUGCCUGGGAGUGUGCUGGGGGGCUCAGUGUGCAGUGUGAGGUGUCCCAGAUAACAGAGCCCAGCCUGAACACCAGCCCUAGGCAGCCUGUGAAUAAUGUGACAUCGAGGUAUUGAUCAUGCCCCCUCCACUUUGUCCUCUUUCUGGAGCAGCAGCUGCAGUUGCUUUGGUCCUGCAGGAACCAAGCUGACACUGACCCAGCUGGGCCCAGAGAUAAGUUGGGUCAGGCUUUUUUUCUUUUUUUCUUUUUUGCUGUUUGUAGAGAAAAUAAAGUGCUUGUGGGGAGCAGGAGCCAAGCUCCCCAGUGCCUAAAACAGCAAUCGCAGCACUUCCUUGGAUUUAUGGUGUUUGCUUUCACAAUGCCAGCCGGGAUCCUGUUUGCUUCCUGCUCUGCAGCUGCAGCCUGAGCUGAAGGCUCAGGAGAUUCAGGUUUUAUAACACUCCUGGAUCCUGCCGAUGGCAACUUGUCCAUCAUCUUUUAUGACCCACGCACCUCCUGUGAGGCUGGGCUGGGCUGUUGCCACCCCAUCCCAUUGCCCACCUCCGGCUGCUCCUGGCAAUGGGGUCCCCUUCCCAGCACCAGGCACUGUGCGCAGGCAUUGAGCUGCACCAGCAUGGGCAGGAUGUUGAGACACAGAUGUCACCUCCUCCUGCAAUGUCCUGGGAUGCUCAGGGCUGAUGGCAAACACCAGAACUGGCCACCCCACGUGUCCUCGUGGACAGAGCAGGGUUGCACCACACCACUGCAUCCCACUACCCAAACUGCGGCUUCUGAGUGCUCUGUCCCAUCCACUGCCCUUAGAGCCCGGAUCCCAGCUGUAGGAGCUGGGCCACCCCACACCUGCUCCCCAUAUUUUUGGUGUCCCUCUGUGAGCCAACCAUCGGGGCCUCCAAAUAAAAACACAACUUUUGUUUAACGUU